CUACCGUUAGCUCAGUUGGUGGAGCGAAGGACUGUAGUUAUUACCAAAUCAGUAUUCCUUCACCGAUUCGAGCCCGGUACGGUAGA